CCUACGGGUGGCAGCAGUGAGGAAUAUUGGUCAAUGGGCGCGAGUCUGAACCAGCCAAGUAGCGUGAAGGAUGACUGCCCUACGGGUUGUAAACUUCUUUUAUAAAGGAAUAAAGUGAGGCUCGUGUGCCUUUUUGUAUGUAUUCUAUGAAUAAGGGUCGGCUAACUUCGUGUCAGCAGCCGCGGUAAUACGGAGGAUCCGCGCGCUAUCCGGAUUUAUUGGGUUUAAAGGGAGCGUAGAUGGGUUGUUAAGUCAGUUGUGAAAGUUUGCGGCUCAACCGUGGAAUUGCAAUUGAUACUGGCAGUCUUGAGUGCAGUUAGGGUAGGCGGAAUUCGUGGUGUAGCGGUGAAAUGCUUAGAUAUCACGAAGAACUCCGAUUGCGAAGGCAGGUUACUGAGCUGCAACUGACAUUGAGGCUCGAAAGUGUGGGUAUCAAACAGGAUUAGAUACCCGAGUAGUC
rnacentral:rRNA from 1 species